UAUAGCAGUGGGGGAGAAUGGUCAAUGGCCUAACGGCUGAACCAGCAACUUGGAGGAAUGCAUAGGGAAAGCCGGUAAGAAGGUGAUGUACCUAUGAUAUCAGGGUAAGAUAAAAGGUUUUAUUUUGAUAUUAUGUUAACAAAGUUAAUUAAAAUUCGAAGUAUAUAUUGAUUAUGACAAUAUUUACUAAUGUCUUGACCAAAUCACGUGCCAGCAGUCGCGGUAAUACGUGGAAGAUAAGUGUUAUUCAUCUUUAUUAGGUAUAUAGGGUACCUAGACGGUUAAUAAAACAAACAAAAAUGUAUUUAUUAACUAGAGUUUAAUGUAAGAGAGAUUGAGUAUGGUGAGUGUAGAGAUAUAAUUCUGUGAUACCACUUUUAAACUGGUAAAGGCGAAGGCAACUUUCUAUGUAAAAACUGACGUUGAGGGACGAAGGCUCGAAUCAAAUAAUAGGAUUAGUUACCCUAGUAUUGUGGGCAGACAAUGAUGAGUGUCAUAUAUAAGAAUUUUAAAAAUUAUAUAGUUUUUGUGUAUAAAUGAAAGUGUAAGCACUCCACCUCAAGAGUAACAUGGCAACAUGGGAACUGAAAUCAUUAGACCGUUUCUGAAACUCGUAGUGAAGUAUGUUGUUUAAUUUGAUAGUCCUCAAAUAACCUUACCACAACUUGUAUUACUCUAAGAAUUUUGUAUAGUAUCAAUGUUAAUGUGAAGGAUACUGUAAAAGUAACAAAUAGGGCUAAGUCUAUUGGAUACAGUCCCUAAUAUAAAUUUAUAUUAGUACUUUAAUAUAAUACUACCUUUAUCUACUUAUAAGACUUAGCAAUAAAGGUUUUACAAAUCUUAUAGCAACAGGUGUUGCACGGCUGUCUCCAGUCAAUGUUGUGAAACUGUGGUUAGAUCCAUUAAAUUGACGUAAACCCUUACUUUAUUUACAAUAGAGUAGUUCGCCGCUAUACUGGUAGUGAUAUAAGGGACUAAGACAAGUCAUCAUGACCCGAAUGUUGUGGGCUAUAGCCGUGCCACAUAUC
rnacentral:rRNA from 1 species